rnacentral:rRNA from 1 species
AUUGAACGCUGGCGGCAUGCUUUACACAUGCAAGUCGAACGGCAGCGCGGGCUUCGGCCUGGCGGCGAGCGGCGAACGGGUGAGUAAUACAUCGGAACGUGCCCCGUAGUGGGGGAUAGCUCGGCGAAAGCCGGAUUAAUACCGCAUACGACCUGAGGGUGAAAGCGGGGGAUCUUCGGACCUCGCGCUAUUGGAGCGGCCGAUGGCAGAUUAGCUAGUUGGUGGGGUAAAGGCCUACCAAGGCGACGAUCUGUAGCUGGUCUGAGAGGACGACCAGCCACACUGGGACUGAGACACGGCCCAGACGCCUACGGGAGGCAGCAGUGGGGAAUUUUGGACAAUGGGCGAAAGCCUGAUCCAGCAAUGCCGCGUGUGUGAUGAAGGCCUUCGGGUUGUAAAGCACUUUUGGCGGGAACGAAAAGGACUGUGCCAAUACCACGGUUCGAUGACGGUACCCGCAGAAUAAGCACCGGCUAACUACGUG